AAUGCUAGCUAUCUCUAUGUGAUGUAUUAGUUAUUUCUGUCAUCUCUAUCUCCCCAGCUUGAAAUUUCAUAUAAAACAAAUGUUUCAAUCCUGUUUGAUCCAGCAUGGAAAAAAAAAGUUUUGAAUUUCUUAAUAGAACAAUAUCUUGAAAUUAACCAUUCUGUAAAAAGAAACUUGCCAAUUACCUUUCGUCUAGUUCAUAUCUUUGACAUAUUUGCCAUUCAAAAUAUUUCUAGAUUGUAGUGUCUGCUUGGUUUUGGUUAUCUAAGCUGUAAUAAGUAGUCUUGGGACCCCUGAAGGCACACCCCACACACUUAUGCUGUGUGACCUGAGGUCACAAGUAAUGGCUGCAAGCUAAUUGAUUGAGAAAGGCUUGUCUGGCAGGGCCUCUCUCUGUCCUCCCUUUACAUUCCUAAGUUCUGUGAAAGAGGCACUAGCAGCUCAGCCUAGCAAGGAAGGAAAAAAGGAGGAAGUUUCUCUGCGUUUUGAUUACACUCUGAAUUCCCUUGUAGUGAGCUUACUUCUCUCCACCCACUUCUUCUUACAAGAACUUAACUUGAAGGUGAACAACUAAAAGCCUGGCCCCAGAGAGGUGUCCGAAAAGUGAUUUGAGUAUUUAAUGAACUGAAAGAACAAAUUACUUACUUCAGGCGGCGGGAAGCAUAUGGCAAUUAUAUUAGAACUUCAGCAAAGUGCACAGCCGCAUAAUACAGAAGCUGGAACUCAGAUUGACAGGCAAAUAAGCCAGCUCGUAGAAGGGGCCUCUGGGUGGCAGCUCUGGGCUAUUGGGUGUUGGACAACUAUAGGCAAAACUGAAAUGGAACAGGGGCAGAAAAUAGCACACUUUUACGCUACGCAACCGUUGCUUUCGCCUGCUCUUCAGGAAUUUUAUUGGGAUAAUCUUCCAAAUUGAAUUCCAAGCAUUCUAUCCAAAUGGUUAUGAAUGAUUAAAAUAUCAUUGUAAAGAGAAGACUCAAAAAUUACUGGUUCCUCAAUUCCUUCUCUAUGCUAGUGAGAGAUUUCAAAGCCAUGUCUUUAGCAGAAGCAAGAGCAAAGUUUUUUUAGAGACAGAAUGAAAGUACAUCCAGGGAGAACCAGGAAGAGGAGUGGGAAGAACAACUGGGAAGAAAGGAGCAUAUUGCUACUUUGAAGGUAAAGAAAACUCUGUCAUGAUGCCAGCAGAGACGAGGAUGGAAUAUAUUAUAUGGAUUUCUAGAGACUUUGCUUCCCUCUGCCUAUAGUCAGCUCAUCAUCUUGCUGCCAGAGGUAUCAUACGCCUGAGAAAGCUCUGCAACUACUCUGGACCACCCCUUAGAGGAGGUGAUCAGAUAUCUUUGAAGAUUAAUCAGAGAACCUUUCACUCACCUAUAAAGGGAAAACUUAAAAUGGAUAUGAGAAGUGAAGAAAGUGAUCAUAGGAGAAAAUCAUCUCAGAUCAACCACUUCAGAAGAACCAGAUUCCACUUCUGUGACCAGGACUUUUAUGUUAUGGCUGGUCUGAUUGUUUUGCCCUGCGUUCUAUGCUACUAAGCGUUGGAUGAUUUCUAAAGUACAAAUUCUGUUCUCGAACCACAAACAAGGCUAAAAGAUCGGAGGAAUUUCAGUGAAUAUACAGUAUUGGGAUUUUGUAUUUUCAAAAGUAUUGAGCUUUAUAAUGCAGUUAUUUAAGAAAGAGAAUUUUUUUUAAAUUUCUUUUGAUGUUGCCAGCAUUUUAAGUAACAUGUUUAUUAAGUGGCAUUGCUCAAAUUGCUAGAGUCUGCAUGUGAAAUAUUUGCUGUCUGAAUAGUUGGGAGAUUCAAAGAGAUAAAGCACGCUUCAGAGGUAUUAAAUUAUGACAUGCAAAAAAGUUUUUGUUUUAGACUUAACUGCAACAGUAUAUAUUUAAAGCAGAUUUAAGGUGUUGUAUGUCCUGGGCCCACCUUAACAGUUUUGCUGUAUAGAAGUGUAAUGGGAAGUAAAAUUUCAGUUAGGGUCCCAUCAACUGGCAUAUAAUUCUUUAAUGUAAUAGAGGCUGUGGUGUCGCUGCACAAAUCUGCUAAAAACAGAUUUUAAUCCAUUUUUAGUCUCUUUGAAUCGAACGGAAUGCCUCUUAACUGUUCAUUGUCUGCAAUGCUUCUCAUUUUCAUUAUUAUAAGGUCUGGGUUAGUCUAUAAAUGAUCAUUGUGAAUAUUCAGCUCAGUCUAACUUUUAUACAUCAUAUAUAUUUCUAAGUAUGUACUUUAAUUAGUAUUUAGAGGAAAAAGUUUAACUGAACCCAACUAUAAUUUCUAAGCUAGCCUUAUUACUGGAAGAAGAAUUCUACUGCAUCAAACCAGACUUUUCCUAGUCCCUGAGACCCUAACUUGUGAGGUAUUUUAGUAACAUCACAAGUCAGGCUCUUGGGACCUAGGCGGAGGGGAACCAGCACCUUUGGACCUUAUUGAUUGUCUGCAGUUGCCACCAGAACAAAAGAACAUACAUAGAUUCUGCCUAGGAGAAAAGAACAAUGCUCUUCUUUAUAAUCAGCAAUGUUUUCACCAUGACCCACACCCAAAAUACUAUUUUCAAAAACUGUACUUUAAAAUGGUUACAGAGCUGCACUGAAAUAGCAUUUGUAUUAUAUUCUAAUGACCAUAUAAAAGCAGUAUAAGUUAUCUGUAUAAGAAGCAAAAUUCAAAUACAAAUGUUUUAAAAAUGCUUCUUUUGGUGUAUAUUAAGGUAACUAGUCUGAGAGAAUACCUCCUUAGUUAAUAGGAGAGUGGUUAUUUAUCACUUCUUUCAUAUGCAUAGAAACAGAAACAUUAGCAGCAUAAAUAAAUCCUAUAUGUCUCCACGUAACUGUGACUCAGAAUAUGUAAUAUAUAGCUGUAAUCAUGUUUGAGGCCUAGAAGUAAAAUGAUUUGCAAUCCUCUUUACUGAUCCUAUUUAAUUUUGCUAUUGAUUUUAGAAUGCUGUUUUAUACCUCGGAUUUAUUGCCAGAGUUUUCCUUAGACUUUGAACCAGACAAAAUACUUUAUGUGUCUUAUUAUCUUAAGACAGUUUCUUGUUAUAAGAGUUCAAGGGUGAGCUAUCAAUAAUUAGCAAAAAUAUGGUACUUUUCAGUUGUCACAUUUUACUUUGUAUAUCCCAUGCACCUAUGUGAGAUGAAUCAGUAAACAUCACCUAUGAAGACUGCUCUAGUUUAUCUGCCAACUGACUCUGAACUGAAUAGUGUUAGUUUUGUAAGAAUUAUAAUUUUGUAAGAGAUACCUAAUUCAACUCUAAUUGUUGUGACAUAUUUGAAUAUUAUUAGCCAUUGCCACAUCAAGCAUGUGUUUUUUUGAAUGGAGUUAGUAUAUUAAACCUAUGUAAACAUUUUACAGUAAUGUUGCAAAUAUUAAGAUUCAAAAUGGAGAUGAGAGACUUCCCAUAAUAGAAGAAACAAAAUGAUUUCAUUCAUUAAACUCUAUGACUUUAUAUGCUAAAAUAAAUAUAUGGCUGUAUUUUAGGAUACAGUAUGGAGUCUUUGUUCUCCUUUUUAUUGGAUUUGUAAUAAUUACUUUUGAUUUGAAAUAUCACAGAAUGCCAAUAACCGUUGAGUUACACUUACUAAAAAAAAAGGGCAUUACAAUAUCAUAAACAUUUUCCUCUAUGCAAGGCACAUAGAAUUUAUUUAAGCAUGAAUCCACAUGGUAUCUGUGCAAACCUUUGUAUCAUGUAUUUCAUUUAUCUAGAAUCUCUGAAAUUUUAUGUGUGUAUGCAUGUGUGUAUAAGCAUAUGUUUUAAAACUCCAACUGAAAGGAGGUAAUGUAAACAGUAAAGAAUUUUGGCAGUAUGUAUCUUUUAUUUCUGUUAACCUCAUUCUAAUUGUAAUUAAGCAAUUUAAAAAGCAUAAGCUUCUUGGUACAAAUAACUCUGUGUAUCUAGAAGUACACAGAAACGUGAUUAUAUUUAAUAGCAAUGUUUACACAAACUAUUUCUUAUAUAAAACAGUAACACAUAGGUAUAUGUUUCCGGACACCUGUUUUGACAUGAACAUGAAUAGUACGAAUAAAAUGUUCCAUCAUUUUAGCACCAAAAUAAUGUAGAAGAUAAAUGUUUACAAGCUGUACUGAUGUUAGAUAUAAGCUAUUGUUUCAAAUGCAAGAUUUUCCUUCUAGGCUGUUGUACUUAUGAAACAUACUACAUAUUAACUUCUAUUUCAUAGAAGAGAGGUCCUAAAGCUAAUGGAGAAUGCAGUGAUGUUUAUUUUUCCCAUAAACAUAUAUGAAAUUAUUUUUUAAUCAAUCAUCUGCACUGUUUGAAUCCUCUCCAUGUAAUCUUCCAUUAUGUGAGCUGAUUUUUCUGAACACAUCACUGAUAAAGAUUUUCAUUUACUUACUCCAUAAAGGUGAGUAGAGAUAUGUGUGGGUGACUUUGUUUAUAUAAACUACUUUAUGCUGCAUAUGGAGAGAUGGUUGCCACUUUUCUGCAUUUACUUGUCACAGGCUAAUACUGUUUUGGGACUGUCUAAUAUGAUUUGAAAAAUUAGAUCAUACUAAGCUUAAAAUAAAAGCAGAAAUCUACAACAAAGAACAAGAAAAUGAUGUGUGUUGCAUACCAAAAAAGCAGUGAUAUUAAGAAUUCGAUGACUUCCUGGUUGGGAGUCCAGCCUGAGCCAGACGCAUACAUUAAAAGCUGUCUGCUGGGAUGUGAGCUUGCUCAAUGCGGUGGAAAUGAGGAAUCACCUCCUCUCUGAUACCAGCUUAUUUUUACAUUUUAAUUUUGAAAUAGAAAAUCACUAUUUUACAUAACUAUACUAACCCAGCUUUCUUUUCCUUUCACACAUUAUUUUCUAAUUUACUGUGAACUUCAAGUUCUCUUUUUGUAUUAUCAUAAUCACCUUAAAUAUCUUUCAAAGACCAAUGAAGUAUUAGUUUCCUUUUGUCUCUUUUGUAUUGCUCUGUUAAUAUUGUGAUUAUACAUGCUUUUAACUUUUAAUCUCUGUAAGGAAAAGAUCAAUUUUCCAAAAUGACAUUUUUUAAAACCUUUUAGUACCCAUCAAGGAGCCACUUUUGGAAUUUUGCCAAGUAGAAAUAUGAUUAUAUUUCAUUUCAGGGUUCAUGGGAUCAAUAUCUUUCUCCGUAUAAAAGUCCUUAACACUUCAGUAUUCCAGUGAUGGUGGAGAAGAGAUGUAGAGCUAUUCUCAAGUAAUUUAAGCAUUAGGCUAUGUUAAAAAUAUCCAGAAGAGAAGGACAUUUCUCUAGGGUAUUAUAGUAAAGUUAAUUACUAAUGAAAUUAGAAAAGGUGUAUUCUGCCUUAAAUUCUUCUUCAAAUGGGCAUGCUGAUACACAUGCCUACACUUGGUCUCAUUCAUCUGAUAAAUAUUUAAAUGGUUUUGCAAGCUGUCAUGUUCAGAUGAGUUUUGAGAAAAGCAGUACAUAAAGGGUUAGCUAAUGCCCAAAUUUUCUUGCCAUUCACACAUGCAGUGCAGCCUACAUUUCGGGAGGCAUCAAAUGCAGGCAUCAUUUUGAUGACUUGGAUUCUUUUGUCUAGUUUCUUACUAGACAUUUAACUUAGCACUCAAAUCCCACUGAUCCCCUAGUGACUGUAUUUGGAAAAGGAAAACAGAGUUCAUAUAGAGAAGUUUUCAAAAAUCCCUGGCAUUUGUAAGCAUUUGAAAAUGCUUUUGGUGUAGCUCUGCAAAUAUUUUAUUUAUAUGCAGAAACAUAGAUGCUGCUAUUAUCUAUAUGCCAUUUCCAUAUUUAGUUUUCUGGUCUACCCGUGAAAAUAUAUAUAUAUAUAUAUAUAUAUAUAUACACACACACACACACUGAGACAUUAAUGUAUAUUUUUCUAGAUAGAUUUUCAUUUAAAAAAGACUUAGUUAAAACAGCAUAAAAGUGAAACAUCAUCCUAAAUCAUCCAUACUAUUUUUUCCAUGAACUAGCGUAAAUUUCAUUGAAUGUUGCUUUUUCCAUGUUUUUCAAUCUCUCCAUAUUAAAUGGUGCAUUAGCAGAUGGAGUACAUUACUAGUCAAUAUUAUUAAUUUGUGUGAAAUGUUUUACCUGUGUAAGUUAACAAGAAGCUGAACUUGAAGGUAACUGAGCUUAAGUGAAUUUAAGAUUAGUUUCAUUUUAUAUAACCAGUCAGCUAAAUGCAAACAUUUUAUGGAGAAUUUCAAAGUGAGUGCUUCUUAUAUGUGAAAUUAUUUUUUAUUAUUUUAUUAUUAUUGCUAUGAGUGAUAUGAUUUUGAGUUUGUUACUUUAAAAUUAAUUCCUAAACAAGAAAAACAAAAUGUGAAAAUGAUCGUGGUGCAUUGGUUACUUCAGCUAAAUUAGAAUAAUGAUUCCUAGAUUUCAUUUUUAAAUUUCAAGGUUUUUCAGGUAGUGGAGUUUAUUGUAGAUGGAUUUAUCCAUUCAUCCUUUCUGAAAAGUUUCUCUUCUCUGUAGGUAGGUGUCUGACCAUUUAUGAACAGUAAGUGACUAUUCUGUGAAAUCAUCUUUCCUUGCCUUUGAACUAGCUCCCCCUAGGCUCUGAGUAAACAUCAUUAUUUUACACAACCAAAUUGGUAGGUUUUUCUUGAAAUGCUAAUUUGUAUUUUUCUAGAUAUAUAAGUGAAUUGUGAGAAAUUAUAGAUUUACAUUCUCAUUUCUGUGUUUCCAAUUUCCAAACGUCUUUGGUAAGAGAUUUGAAUGGUUUUGAAACACUAGCAAACAAAAAGCAUUUGGUCUUGUAGAAUUAAAAAUUCAAUGUCUUUCUCAUAGUAGACUUCCUAUUCUUUGUAAGGAGGGAGGAACCAGACUUUGGCUAAGUUAUUACUGCCUUCCACAUCAUUUUAAAACCCAGUCUGUGCAUUUGUAAACCUUGGGGAGGUUUCUACAUUAGACAACAUUUUUUGUUGGGGGAUUACCCCACAGUGGGUUCCCUUCACUUCUGUCUGUCUUCCUGGCCCCCCUCCACCCAACAUGGAGCCUUUUCAACUUCUUCAAAGAAAUGGGGUCGGGGGGAGAAGUAGACUCUUUAUUAAUGGCAGAAAACAAACUGGCUGCUGGACUUCCGAAGCAGCCUUCUAAUAACAAAGCAGAGAAGGCACUGUGACAAAGAAUUCUUGAAUGUACUAAAUAUAUAGGGAAGCCGAUUUAAAUUCACCAGAGGGGCUUAGAGGACAAGCAGCAGAAAGUUUAGAAUUCAAUUCAAGCCAUGCCAGAAAAUGAAAAUGUACUUAAAAAAGGAUUUCUGAAACAAUUGUUCAAAGACAUGUCAACUUUUAAGGCUCUUUCUAGAAUAAUGAAAUUCGUAUUCAAAUUUCUGUGGUGACUUUUUCAAUUAGAGAGGAAAAAUGAUUAACAAGAUCUCAAAGGAAUUGUAUCUUAACAUUUUUUUUAAAUGCACUUUUUUUUUAAACAGGGUAUGUUCUAGUGAGGGCCACCUAGUACACUGACUAAAAUCACCCAAAUAUACACACAGGACAAAGCGAUUCUAUAUUUUUUUUAAUCAGUUAGGUAUAUCAUGACAGGAGUAGUCUCUCUAAGAGAGAGUAGUCUUCUCUAAGGAAGAUAACUUAUCUUUUCUAAUUUAUUUCUUUGCAUUCAAUUCUGUGAUUUAUAAUACAGAAACCAAGCAAAUGAAUGAACUAAAAAAAAAAUUAGUAUAUAAGACCAAAUUAGUGGCUAUCAGAAGGAAGGGUGGAGGAAAUGGAUAUUUCAGGUAAAUGGGUUAAUUGUAGGGUAAAGAAUAUAACUGGACUUCUGGUGGUAAAUUUAAUAUAGUGUAUACUGAUGUUGAUUUUAGUGCUGUACACCUGAAACUUAUCUAGUGUUCUAGUGCAAUGUUAUCUCAAUAAAAAUUAUUAAAUGAAUGCAGUGAAGUAAUUCCAAAAGAGCACAUUGCUGAUAAAUAAUAGGAUUUAUGUGAUGUUAAAUUUGAGAGACAAAAAAAAGUGUGAUCCCUACCUUUUCUCAUAUUGAGAAAAUCCUCUUCACCCUUUAUGGAGAUGUAUCUAUGAGGAGUGCCCACAUCUAUUUAACCCUAUUGUUGAUGUAAAGACUGUUCAUAAUGUUCAUUUAAGGUAGCAGAACCUUGAUUCAGGGAUAAAAUUUCCAGCAGGCUUUUUCCUAAUGUCUUCUAAUUUUAGAAUUAACUAAGUAUUGGAGAAAAGAGUGUCAUUCUUUGUCUCAGGGAUUACAAGUUGUAAAGAGUAUGGAAAUUUGGACCUACUAGUGGCACAUCCUUGUUUCCACUGUGGAAAGAUUCUGCUUGAGAAUGAAGCCCACAUGAAUUCACCAAUUCAUAAAUAUAACUUAUCAACUCAAAAUAAGCUGUUGAUUCAUUAUUCCAUCCAUUCACUUACAAGCUCAUAUUCAUCAUUAAAAAAAUGAAUUAAAACUGUGCCAAUUCAUGGGUCCUCUUGAUCAUUUUACAAAAUUUGAUUCAUUUUAAAACAAAAUAUUGGAAAUAUGCACAUUAGUACUAAUUACAUAGGGAUAUUUGGUACUUAAAGAUAAACUAUAGUAUUAUCCUCAAUAGAGAGAUAUAGGUGUGUGUGAAUAUUUAACAAAAAACUGAUUUUCACUUGUUGACAUUUUAACAUUAAGGACUUCAGUAGAUUUAAAUGAUUAAUCAAUGAAAUAACUCAAGUAAAUUCCUUAGCCUGUGCCUAACAGCUCAAAAGUACUCAGUAACUAUUAUCGUGCUUCCUGCUUGGAUCUUAGUCUUUGACUUUGCUAAAUGGAAUUUUUCAUCAUCAGAAUUCACUGGUGCACACUUUCCUAAAUAGUGAGUGGCAGACACCAUUUGGAAAUCCUUUCAGCUGCUAGAGCUCAACAAUAAUUUACUCUGAGUGUAUUCAUUAAAUGUUUCAUAAGUGCCUACUAUAAGAAAGAAAAAGAAAAAUUCUACUUUCAAAUAGCCACAGUCUAUAAAAGCUGUCUUUCACUUUCAGACAUAUUUUGUCCUCUGUGUGUAUCUUAGCAUUUCAUAAAUGUCUUUAUUAUUUUUUCUACUUUAUAAAUGUGCAUUCUAUGAGCUUUGCCCUACUUUCUAGUUGUAGAUAUGAUAACCUCCCUAUAUACUUUGAGUUGUUUUGAGCAAAAUGUAGAGUAUUUUUUAGGAUUUUGCAUAUCCUAGACUUUCUUCAUAGUAUGCCCUACAGUAUACAAUGUUCUAGUGAUUAUAAGUCAUACCUAGACCUUAAAAAUAGGAUAAUAAGAAUAGUAAUUCCAGAAUAAUUGGACCAAAAUGCUGUAUUCAUAUAUGAUUUCAUUCUCUCUAAAAUAAACCAUCCUUUAAUUUCCUCAAAAAAGGCUAAUUUGAAUAUAAUGAUAUUGAACAUGCAGUUUCCUGAAGUAGUAAUUAAUUUGGUAAAGGACCAGACAUUUUAAUUAACUAUCUCUGGAAGUUACAAUAUGCAAAAUAAAGUUGGAUUUUUAGACUUUUUGCCACCAUUGAACCACAGUGCUGGAGUAGAGGUAAAAGGCCUGAAUUCUACCAUCAUAUCUAUCUCCAGUUAUUUUAUGACACUGAACCUCUCUCCUCUUAACUUUCCUAACUUAGAAUUGAUUUAUAAAAUGAAUAUGUUGAUAAAAAUGUGUUAAAGUAUUUUUAGUCAAAAAAAUUAUUGUGUCAUUGGAUAGUUGAGUAUUUUUCUCUUGUAUAGGGGACUUCUUGAGUCGAUGGCAUAGGGGAAAAAAGCCCUUUUUAAUAAAAAGUCUAAAUCACUGCAUUAAUCAGAUUCUAAGUAAGUUCAUGAAUAUCAUCUCCUCCUCCUACUUCUCUUCAACCUCUCCUCUUGGUCCUCUCUACCUCUGCCUUUCUAUCUCUGAUCAUUUCCCUCUCUUUUUCUCCCUGUGACGUCAUUGUCAGGUGGAGUCUAUGUGAUAACCAUUGGCAACUCCAGACAUGCCUCAUGAAGCUCUCCUAGAGAAGGAUAAUGAAAGUUUCUCUGUACCCUACAUCAAUUUCAGUUCUCAGAAAGGCUCUAACUGGCUCUUUUUGGAGGCACUUCUCUGUCCAAAUGAGAGUUAACAGGGCUCACAACAUAUCUACAAAUUUCUAAAUUGCUUAGCAUAAUGAUAUUUUAAUGCUAUCUGUGAAUUAUGUUCGUCAUCUUGGUAAUCUUAGUGGUGCCUACCAAGAUACAGAUAAUAUGAAGUUUUUCAGCCCAAAUGUACUGUAGACAGUAAAUCACUCGAGUAUCAUGGAGAGUAAUUACAUUUUAUUAGCAUUUUCUAUGGUAGACAUCAGGAAAGUUAGCAUUUGGACUAAUUUAGGAAUUUGAUAUUUUAAAAUUGGUUUUGGAUUAUUACAAAUAGGAGUUUGAUAAAGAAGGGAUGAUGAUUUUAUUCUGUAGUUCAAUGUCUAUCUUCAUCUACAAUAUGUUCAAGGCCAUUCUGUAUCAUCCAGUUUUAUAUCCUUUCCAUUUUUACCUCCAGUGUUAGGAGCUUUAUGUUGCUCCCUGAUAUUUUUUUAUUUUCUUGUAAGUAUAAUUGACACAAAACAUUGUAUUAGUUUCAGGUGUACAACAUGAUGUCUCAACAUGUAUAUAUAAGGCAGAAUAAUCACCACAAUAUGUCUAGUUAAUAUCCACAUACUGUUAAUAUCCACAUACCACCACAUACUGUUACAAUUUUUUUUCUUCUGAUAAGAAUUUUUAAAAUUUACUUUAUUGGCACUUUUAAAUAUGCAGUAUUGUAUUACUAACUAUAACUGCCAUGCUAUGUAUUACAUUACUUAUUUAUUUAUUUUAAAAGAUUUAUUUAUUUAUACAAGCACUGGGUACAGUCAGAAGCACGGGAGGGUGAGAGAAUUCACCAGAGGCAGAGCGGAGAGCAGAGCAGAGCAGGCAGACUGACGAAGUACACUGCUGAGGGGAGCAGUGGGUGGCAGGAGAGGUCUGCGCACCAUGUAGGACCCCAGCCCGGUGGCCAGGAAUCGAACCAGUGCUGCAGAGGCUGCGGGCAGCUUCGCAACCCAGCACUCAACCGCUGGGCCACCGGGGAGGCCCUACAUUACUUAUUUAUAAUGCUGCUGAUUCUUAAAAAUCUUUUGGUUUAUGGAUUUAUUUAUUUUCUUCUAAUAUAUAUGUUUACAUUUAUGUAUACCUGUAUAUACAUAUGAAAAUACAGAACCUAUAAUUAUCAGUUAUUUAUAUAUACAUAUUUACAUGUAUAUAAGUGUAGCCUAUAUAUGCAUGUAUAUACAUAUACGUGUGUAUACUAUUUUCUAGUUGUAGAUGUGAUAACUUACCUAUAUGCUCUGAGUUAUAUGUCUAUGUAUACAUAUAUAUAUGUAUAUGAUUAGGAUGUUAAAUCUUUCUCCUUUUGAACUCUCCUGAUUAUCUUGGUAUAACCUGAGUGGUUUUAAAAAUUUUGCAAUCAAGAACUACUAUGUGAGGAUCUUCCUCAACAAGAAAAAGAUUAAUUUUCUUUGAAUAAUGGUUCUAAUGCAAAAUAUUUUGGGUUUUCUUAUGCAGAUGAGCAGUGCUGUAAAUAUAAUUUAGAGAGUUUGAAAAUUGAUUUUAACAUUCGCUAUUCUUCUUCCUAAUUAAUCAAAUUACAAAAUUAUGCUGUGGAUUCCAGUAUAUUAAAAUCAGUUGUCAUAUUUGGAACAUCUGUUUAUGCUCCUAUUAUGCAUGUGUGUUUCUAAAUGUCUGAAAUAUAGAUUGUCAUAAAUAAUGUUUGUUAUGUAUUCUGUGGAAGUAUGAUACCUACUUUCUCCCACAAUGCUUAUUUCCCACAAAGUAAAUCUUCCAGAUUGUGUUUUAUCAUUUCUUUAUCAAGAUGGAUGAAAAAAGAUGAGGGUUUUAGUUAAGACUUGCUGAUUGGUUUAAAAGAGCUAUGACUGUCAUCGGCAGCCUUUCCAGACACUGAACCAUGGCUCCAGACAGUCAGCUGGUACUAUCGCUUUGUCUCAACUAUAAAUCACAGACUCGUAAUGGCCAAGGCUGACAUCUUGACAUUUUCAAGAAGAGUAAAAGACCUGAUUUGAAUGGAAAUCAAUUUCAUCUCACAAAUCUUGGGUUACUACUCUAAGCUUUUCUUAUUUCUUCUUGAGACUUAUUUGGGAUUUUCAUGAUCAUCAGAGGAUUAUUUGAGUGUUGUACUAUCACUUCUUUUAUCUGCAAAACCAUAUUCUUCUUUAUUCUAAAUGUGGAAAUAUUGAUUUUUAAAAUUUUAUAUAAGAAAAACUCACCAAUAAGUCUGAAUAUAUUUUAACUACAAUGCAUUAAUAGUUUAAAAUAUUGUGGUAGCA